rnacentral:rRNA from 1 species
GGACCUCAGAUCAGGCAAGACCACCCGCUGAGUUUAAGCAUAUCACUAAGCGGAGGAAAAGAAACUAACAA